rnacentral:lncRNA from 1 species
AUGAUCCAACGGUGUGUUGUGUUGCUGCUCGUUGCUCUUGCAGCUCUCUCUUUCGCAGCUCCAGUCCCAGAAGGAACAACAGCAGAUGACAGGAGUGCAGCCCUGCUGGCUCACCUCAACGAAGAAAAAACUACGCGUGAACCUGUGACCUCCCAGCCAGGUACCAACACAACACACAAGACACAAUACACACUAUAUAUACACACUAUAUGUACACACUAUAUACACACUAUAUACACAGUAUAUAUACACACACACUAUAUAUACACACACUAAAUAUACACACUAUAUACACACUAUAUAUAUACAGACUUUUUUGAUUUGUCUCCUCAGAUUCUGAUGACAGCAACUCUGCUGAACACACUGAAGGUAACCUGUCUGUCUGAUUACCUUUCUGUUAACCUGUCUGUCUGAUUACCUUUGUGUUCACCUGUCUAUCUGAUUACAAUUGUGUUCACAUGUCUAUCUGAUUACAAUUGUGUUCACCUGUCUGUCUGAUUACCUUUGUGUUCACCUGUCUAUCUGAUUACAAUUGUGUUCACCUGUCUGUCUGAUUACCUUUCUGCUCACCUGUCUGUCUGAUUACCUUUCUGUUCACCUGUCUAUCUGAUUACCUUUGUGUUCACCUGUCUGUCUGAUUACCUUUCUGUUCACCUGUCUGUCUAUUUAUCUGUCUUUCUGUUUACCUGUCUGUCUGUUUCAGCUCCCUCUGAAUCAGAUGAAACGACUGAGUCACCAG